rnacentral:rRNA from 1 species
UCGACCGCCUGGGGAGUACGGCCGCAAGGUUAAAACUCAAAUGAAUUGACGGGGGCCCGCACAAGCGGUGGAGCAUGUGGUUUAAUUCGAUGCAACGCGAAGAACCUUACCUGGUCUUGACAUCCACGGAAGUUUUCAGAGAUGAGAAUGUGCCUUCGGGAACCGUGAGACAGGUGCUGCAUGGCUGUCGUCAGCUCGUGUUGUGAAAUGUUGGGUUAAGUCCCGCAACGAGCGCAACCCUUAUCCUUUGUUGCCAGCGGUCCGGCCGGGAACUCAAAGGAGACUGCCAGUGAUAAACUGGAGGAAGGUGGGGAUGACGUCAAGUCAUCAUGGCCCUUACGACCAGGGCUACACACGUGCUACAAUGGCGCAUACAAAGAGAAGCGACCUCGCGAGAGCAAGCAGACCUCAUAAAGUGCGUCGUAGUCCGGAUUGGAGUCUGCAACUCGACUCCAUGAAGUCGGAAUCGCUAGUAAUCGUGGAUCAGAAUGCCACGGUGAAUACGUUCCCGGGCCUUGUACACACCGCCCGUCACACCAUGGGAGUGGGUUGCAAAAGAAGUAGGUAGCUUAACCUUCGGGAGGGCGCUUACCACUUUGUGAUUCAUGACUGGGGUGAAGUCGUAACAAGGUAACCGUAGGGGAACCUGCGGUUGGAUCACCUCCUUA